AACGAACGCUGGCGGCACGCCUAACACAUGCAAGUCGAACGAAGCUAAGCAGCUUGCUGCUUGGACUGAGUGGCGCACGGGUGAGUAACAUGUGGGAAUUUGCCUAUCGGUGGGGAAUAACCUUUGGAAACGAAGGAUAAUACCGCAUACGCCCUUCGGGGGAAAGAUUUAUCGCCGAUAGAUAAGCCCGCACUAGAUUAGCUUGUUGGUGAGGUAAUGGCUCACCAAGGCAAUGAUCUAUAGCUGGUCUGAGAGGAUGGUCAGCCACACUGGGACCGAGACACGGCCCAGACUCCUACGGGAGGCAGCAGUGGGGAAUAUUGGACAAUGGGGGAAACCCUGAUCCAGCGAUGCCGCGUGAGUGAAGAAGGCCUUCGGGUUGUAAAGCUCUUUCAAGAGGGAAGAUAAUGACGGUACCUCUAUAAGAAGCACCGGCUAACUUCGUGCCAGCAGCCGCCGCGG
rnacentral:rRNA from 1 species